AUGAACGCUGGCGGCGUGCCUAAUACAUGCAAGUCGAGCGAACAGACGAGGAGCUUGCUCCUCUGACGUUAGCGGCGGACGGGUGAGUAACACGUGGAUAACCUACCUAUAAGACUGGGAUAACUUCGGGAAACCGGAGCUAAUACCGGAUAAUAUAUUGAACCGCAUGGUUCAAUAGUGAAAGACGGUUUUGCUGUCACUUAUAGAUGGAUCCGCGCCGCAUUAGCUAGUUGGUAAGGUAACGGCUUACCAAGGCAACGAUGCGUAGCCGACCUGAGAGGGUGAUCGGCCACACUGGAACUGAGACACGGUCCAGACUCCUACGGGAGGCAGCAGUAGGGAAUCUUCCGCAAUGGGCGAAAGCCUGACGGAGCAACGCCGCGUGAGUGAUGAAGGUCUUCGGAUCGUAAAACUCUGUUAUUAGGGAAGAACAAAUAUGUAAGUAACCAUGCACGUCUUGACGGUACCUAAUCAGAAAGCCACGGCUAACUACGUG
rnacentral:rRNA from 1 species